UACGUAGGGUGCAAGCGUUGUCCGGAUUUAUUGGGUUUAAAGGGUGCGUAGGCGGCCUAUUAAGUCAGGGGUGAAAGACGGUAGCUUAACUAUCGCAGUGCCCUUGAUACUGAUGGGCUUGAAUGUACUUGAGGUAGGCGGAAUGUGACAAGUAGCGGUGAAAUGCAUAGAUAUGUCACAGAACACCAAUUGCGAAGGCAGCUUACUAAAGUAUGAUUGACGCUGAGGCACGAAAGCGUGGGGAUCAAACAGG
rnacentral:rRNA from 1 species